AUUGAACGCUGGCGGAAUGCUUUACACAUGCAAGUCGAACGGUAGAGGGGGCAACCCCUCGAGAGUGGCGAGCGGGUGAGUAAUAUAUCGGAACGUGCCCAGUCGUGGGGGAUAACGUAGCGAAAGUUACGCUAAUACCGCAUACGAUCUAAGGAUGAAAGCGGGGGAUCGCAAGACCUCGCGCGAUUGGAGCGGCCGAUAUCAGAUUAGGUAGUUGGUGGGGUAAAGGCUCACCAAGCCAACGAUCUGUAGCUGGUCUGAGAGGACGACCAGCCACACUGGAACUGAGACACGGUCCAGACUCCUACGGGAGGCAGCAGUGGGGAAUUUUGGACAAUGGACGCAUGUCUGAUCCAGCCAUUCCGCGUGCAGGAUGAAGGCCCUCGGGUUGUAAACCGCUUUUGUACGGAACGAAAAGGUCUCUCUUAAUACGGGGGACUCAUGACGGUACCGUAAGAAUAAGCACCGGCUAACUACGUGCCAGCCGCCGCCGUAA
rnacentral:rRNA from 1 species